ensembl:snRNA U2 U2 spliceosomal RNA
AUUGCUUCUCGGCCUUUUGGCUAAGAUCAAGUGUAGUAUCUCAGUGAGUCUGUUAUUUGUGUACAAGAAGGAUAUUGAUUUUUGCAUGUUGACCUUGUAUCCAGCUACUCUACUGAAUGUGUCAAUUAAGUCUAGAGAUCUUUU